ACGACUCUCGGCAACGGAUAUCUCGGCUCACGCAUCGAUGAAGAACGCAGCAAAAUGCGAUACUUGGUGUGAAUUGCAGAAUCCCGUGAACCAUCGAGUUUUUGAACGCAAGUUGCGCCCGAAGCCAUUUGGUUGAGGGCACGUCUGCCUGGGCGUCACGU
rnacentral:rRNA from 1 species